rnacentral:tRNA from 2 species
GCCAACUUAGCUCAGCUGGUAGAGCACCCGAUUUGUAAUCGGACGGUCGCCGGUUCGAAUCCGGCAGUUGGCUCCA